GCACUGCUGAGGAGUCCCAAAAUAGGACGAAACAGCCCUCCAGUGC
rfam:Schistosoma rodhaini strain Burundi genome assembly, scaffold: SROB_scaffold0005937